rnacentral:rRNA from 1 species
GUAGUCCUACGGGACGCAGCAGUGGGGAAUAUUGCACAAUGGGGGAAACCCUGAUGCAGCGACGCCGCGUGAGUGAGGAAGUAUUUCGGUAUGUAAAUCUCUAUCAGCAGGGAAGAAAAUGACGGUACCUGACUAAGAAGCCCCGGCUAACUACGUGCCAGCAGCCGCGGUAAUACGUAGGGGGCAAGCGUUAUCCGGAUUUACUGGGUGUAAAGGGUGCGCAGGCGGCACGGCAAGCCGGCGGUCAAAUCGCGGGGCUCAACCCCGCCCAGCCGUCGGAA